rnacentral:tRNA from 2 species
GUCCGCCUUGGCGCGGCGCACCGACGCGUAGAGGUCGUCCAGCCAGCGGCCCGGUUCCGGGUCUGGGGGCGGGCC